AACUCAGGAGACUGGGGCUAAUACCGGAUAGGAAUCCUUGCUGCAUGGUGGGGGUUGGAAAGCUUCGGCGGUUUUGGAUGGACUCGCGGCUUAUCAGCUUGUUGGUGGGGUAGUGGCUUACCAAGGCUUUGACGGGUAGCCGGCCUGAGAGGGCGACCGGCCACAUUGGGACUGAGAUACGGCCCAG
rnacentral:rRNA from 1 species